rnacentral:rRNA from 1 species
UACGUAGGGUCCGAGCGUUGUCCGGAAUUACUGGGCGUAAAGAGCUCGUAGGUGGUUUGUCGCGUUGUUCGUGAAAACUCACAGCUUAACUGUGGGCGUGCGGGCGAUACGGGCAGACUUGAGUACUGCAGGGGAGACUGGAAUUCCUGGUGUAGCGGUGGAAUGCGCAGAUAUCAGGAGGAACACCAGCGGCGAAGGCGGCGCUCUGGGCUGGAACUGACGCUGAGGAGCGAAAGCGUGGGGAGCGAACAGG